rnacentral:rRNA from 1 species
CCUACGGGGGGCAGCAGUGAGGAAUAUUGGUCAAUGGACGCAAGUCUGAACCAGCCAUGCCGCGUGCAGGAAGACGGCUCUAUGAGUUGUAAACUGCUUUUGUACGAGGGUAAACGCAGAUACGUGUAUCUGUCUGAAAGUAUCGUACGAAUAAGGAUCGGCUAACUCCGUUCCAGCAGCCGCGGUAAUACGGAGGAUUCAAGCGUUAUACGGAUUUAUUGGGUUUAAAGGGUGCGUAGGCGGUCGGAUCAGUUAGAGGUGAAAUCCCGGGGCUCAACUUCGGAAUUGCCUCUGAUACUGGCGGUCUAGAGAGGAGGUGCGGUAGGCGGAAUGUAUGGUGGAGCGGUGAAAUGCUUAGAGAUCAUACAGAACACCGAUUGCGAAGGCAGCUUACCA